rnacentral:lncRNA from 1 species
GUUGGGAUUUAUGGAAUGGGCGGCAUCGGAAAGACGACACUAGCAAAAGAGGUUGCUAUUCAGUUCAAGAGAGACCAGCUAUUUGAUCAAGUGAUUUUUGUGGAGGUGCCCCAGAUUCCAGACAUAAGAAAGAUUCAAGGAGAAAUCGCUGAUAAAUUAGGUCUCAUAUUUUUCGAAGAGACCGAAUCUGGAAGGGCAAGGAGUCUUUAUAAUCGAUUGAAGGAUGAGAAAAAGAUCCUUGUAAUUUUAGAUAAUGUUUGGGAAAGUGUUGAUUUGCAGGAUGUAGGAAUUCCUCACGGAGAUAAUCACAAGGGGUGUAAAAUAUUGAUGACGGCAAGAAGUGAAGAUAUAUUGUCUGGCAAGAUGGAUUGCCGACAUAAUUUCUCAGUUGGCGUUCUAAGAGAAGACGAAGCUUGGAGUCUAUUCAAGAAGAUGGCAGGGGAGUCUAUCAACAGUAGUGAAUUCAAAUGGGUGGCAACGGAUGUGGCAAAUGAAUGCGCAGGUUUGCCUGUUUCCAUUGUAACAGUAGCGAGGGCGUUGAGAAAUAAGAGAUUAUUUGAAUGGAAGGACGCUUUGGGACAGUUAAGAAGGCCUUCCUCAACGAACUUUAAAGAUAUACAGCCGGCUGCUUAUUCAGCUAUAGAGUUGAGUUACAACAAAUUAGAAGGAGAGGAGCUCAAGAAGAUCUUUUUGCUAAUAGGCUACACCUACAUAUCAUCCAUUAAUGACGUGUUAAUGUAUGGCAUGGGUUUGGGUUUGUUUCAAGGCAUCAAUAGGAUGGAAGAAGCACGAGCUCGAGUGUAUACAUUGGUGUACAAACUCAAGGCUUCUUGUAUGUUGCUUGAGCAUGGAAGCAAAAAUGAACAUUGGUUUUCUAUGCAUGAUGUUGUUCGUGAUGUUGCCAUAGCAAUUGCAACCAGAGAACAAAAUGUGCUUACGAUGAGAUAUGAACUGGUUAAUUCACGGGAAUGGCUAGAUGAAGGUGCGCUUAAGUUUUACACUUCGAUUGUCUUACACGACAGCAAGAUGAAUGUUCUUCUUCCUGAAGUUUUGGAAUGUCCUCAACUGCAACUUCUCUCUUUGUGGACUGAGAAAUCUUCAUUAAUCACACUUCCAGACAAUUUUUUCAGGAAGUUGACGCAAGUCAGAGUUUUAGACUUGACUUAUAUGCAUCUAUCAUUACUGCCUUCAUCACUUGGUCUCCUAACAAACCUUCGAACAUUGUGUUUGUAUUGCAGCGAAUUGCAAGAUAUAGCUGUUAUAGGAGAAUUAAAGAACCUAGAAAUCCUUUGCUUAAGGGGUUCUUAUAUUGAGCAGUUGCCUGUGGAAAUAGGCCAAUUGACUCGGUUAAGGUCGCUUGAUUUGAGAGACUGUGACAGACUACAGGUUAUUCCCCCAAAUCUUUUAUCAAAGUUAUCCCAUUUGGAGGAAUUAUACAUUCGUAGCUUUAAUAAGUGGGAAGUGGAGGUGGAAGCUGCAGGGAUCAAGAAUGCAAGCCUUGAAGAGUUGAAGCGUUUGCCUAACUUGACCACCUUAGAAUUAUGCAUCCCAGAUGCCAACACUCUGCCGAAGGGGCUGUUCUUCGAGAAACUGGAAAGGUACAGAAUAUGUAUUGGACGUUGGUGUUGGGAGGAUCCCUCACCUACGUGUUCUAGAACAUUCAGACUCCUCCUUGGCACCGACAAUUGUAUCAGCUUCAAGAGUGGACAUAUCGUGCAACUUCAGCGAAUUGAAGACCUUUGUUUAUCUAGAUUGCCAGACCAAGAUAUCAUUGAAUUAGUUAAUAACAAAUUGGGCUCUUAUUCUUCCCAACUGAAGCAUCUCUGGGUCGAAGGUUGUCAAGCCCCCAGUCCGAAAGAGUCAAAGGUAUGAUAUGAUCUUCCUAAAUUUCGAACAUAUCAAAGCAGCCAGUGCAAAAACAGAUUCUUCAUUUCUAAUGAGUAUGACUAUGUUCUAAACAGAGAUGCAAGGAAUCGACAAGUGAAAUGCGAUCGAAUGAAAUCAUUUUGGAGGACCAUGUCAACGUUCCUAAUACAUUUUUCCUCAAGGUCGGAUAUUAAUGAUCCAAUGGUCAUAUUCUUAUGAUUUUUUCCUUUUUUUGUUGCUGCUUUAUUAUAUAUUCUCCUUUCCUAGGAAAUAUAGGCUAGAGUGAAUCAGGGAUUAACGAACAUAUUUCAUAAUUAUAUUAAAAUUUUCAUCCCGAGUAACGUAGGUGUAACAAAUACUGCUGUACGGCCAAGGCGGAUGUACGGUACAGCAGGUUUGAUGAGCUCAAUGACCUCCGGCUUAGGUAUNNNNNNNNNNNNNACUUCGUGCAUUACAAGAUCCUGAUGUGAACAUGGUUGGGAUUUAUGGAAUGGGUGGCAUCGGAAAGACGACACUAGCAAAAGAGGUUGCUAUUCAGUUCAAGAGAGACCAGCUAUUUGAUCAAGUGAUUUUUGUGGAGGUGCCCCAGAUUCCAGACAUAAGAAAGAUUCAAGGAGAAAUCGCUGAUAAAUUAGGUCUCAUAUUUUUCGAAGAGACCGAAUCUGGAAGGGCAAGGAGUCUUUAUAAUCGAUUGAAGGAUGAGAAAAAGAUCCUUGUAAUUUUAGAUAAUGUUUGGGAAAGUGUUGAUUUGCAGGAUGUAGGAAUUCCUCACGGAGAUAAUCACAAGGGGUGUAAAAUAUUGAUGACGGCAAGAAGUGAAGAUAUAUUGUCUGGCAAGAUGGAUUGCCGACAUAAUUUCUCAGUUGGCGUUCUAAGAGAAGACGAAGCUUGGAGUCUCUUUGAGAAGAUGGCAGGGGAGUACAUCGAAAGUAGUGAAUUCAAAGGGGUGGCAACGGAGGUGGCAAAUGAAUGUGCAGGUUUGCCUGUUUCCAUUGUAACAGUAGCGAGGGCGUUGAGAAAUAAGAGAUUAUUUGAAUGGAAGGACGCUUUGGGACAGUUAAGAAGGCCUUCCUCAACGAACUUUAAAGAUAUACAGCCGGCUGCUUAUUCAGCUAUAGAGUUGAGUUACAACAAAUUAGAAGGAGAGGAGCUCAAGAAGAUCUUUUUGCUAAUAGGCUACACCUACAUAUCAUCCAUUAAUGACGUGUUAAUGUAUGGCAUGGGUUUGGGUUUGUUUCAAGGCAUCAAUAGGAUGGAAGAAGCACGAGCUCGAGUGUAUACAUUGGUGUACAAACUCAAGGCUUCUUGUAUGUUGCUUGAGCAUGGAAGCA